rnacentral:rRNA from 1 species
CACCUCUAGCAUUUCCAGUAUUAGAGGCACUGCCUGCCCAGUGACAUUAGUUAAACGGCCGCGGUAUCCUGACCGUGCAAAGGUAGCAUAAUCAUUUGUUCCUUAAAUAGGGACUUGUAUGAAUGGCCACACGAGGGCUUUACUGUCUCUUACUUCCAAUCCGUGAAAUUGACCUUCCCGUGAAGAGGCGGGAAUACGACAAUAAGACGAGAAGACCCUGUGGAGCUUUAAUUAAUCGACCCAAAGAGACCUUAAUAACCAACCGACAGGAACAACAGACCUCUGCCAUGGGCCGACAAUUUAGGUUGGGGUGACCUCGGAGAAUAAAACAACCUCCGAGUGAUUUAAAUCUAGACUAACCAGUCGAAAGUAUUACAUCACUUAUUGAUCCAAAGCUUGAUCAACGGAACAAGUUACCCCAGGGAUAACAGCGCAAUCCUAUUUCAGAGUCCAUAUCGACAAUAGGGUUUACGACCUCGAUGUUGGAUCAGGACAUCCCGAUGGUGCAGCAGCUAUCAAAGGUUCGUUUGUUCAACGAUUAAAGUCCU